AUGGCGGCGCGCGCUGGCGUCGGUCGUCCUCAACGAAAGAGAGGCUUCUCUUCUCCGGGGUUAAAGUCAACGAUAGUCAGUCAGUCUCAGUCAGUACCGACGAAGCUCUCCCAGUGGACAGUCGCCGUGCAGCGAGCUCAAAUUCUGCCAUGGAAGCCCAGAGAUCAAGCUCCUCACUCAUCAUCCUCCACAAUGCUACCAUCGUCACCGUGGACUCGGACAGCCGAGUGUUCCGGAACGGCGGGAUGGCGAUAGAGCACGACAAGAUCAAGGCCAUCGGCCAGUCGGGAGACAUCCUCGCCGAGUUCUCCGGUACAGCGGGAGAAAUCGUUGACCUCCGCGGACAAAUCCUGCUGCCAGGUUUCAUCAACACGCACGUUCAUACCUCUCAGCAGCUGGCAAGAGGCAUCGCCGACGACGUCGACCUGAUGACAUGGCUUCAUCACCGCAUUUGGCCUUACGAGGCGAGCAUGACCGAGGAGGACUCCUACAUCUCCACUUUGCUCUGUGGCGUCGAGCUCAUUCACUCCGGCGUUACUUGUUUCGCUGAAGCUGGAGGGCAGCACGUGCCCGGAAUGGCAAGAGCGGUGGAGCUGCUGGGACUGCGCGCCUGCUUGGCCCAAUCUAUAAUGGAUUCUGGUGACGGUCUGCCAGAACCAUGGGCCAAUCGAACCGCAGAAGAUUGUAUUCAGUUGCAAAAGGAGCUCUACCGGAAGCACCAUGAUACAGCAGAUGGGCGCAUCAGAGUGUGGCUUGGAAUCAGGCAAAUCAUGAAUUCGACUGAUGAUUUACUGCUUAAAACACGGGAUACGGCUAGAGAAUUAGCUACUGUAAUCCACAUGCAUGUUGCAGAGAUACCGUAUGAGAACCAGCUUAUAGUUAAAACACGAAAAGUGGAGCAUGGAACAGUCACACACUUGGAGAAGAUGGAGUUUUUACAGAAUAAUUUGCUAGCUGCUCAUACAGUUUGGGUCGAUAAUGCGGAGAUUGAUUUUCUUUCUCGUGCUGGAGUUAAAGUCUCUCACUGUCCUGCCGCUGCAAUGAGAAUGCUUGGAUUUGCACCAAUCAGAGAAAUGCUUGAUGCCAGCAUCUGUGUCUCACUCGGAACAGAUGGGGCACCAUCAAACAAUAGAAUGAGCAUCGUUGAUGAGAUGUACGUAGCUUCACUAAUAAACAAAGGACGUGAAGUUUAUGCAAAUGGAACAACUGAUCCUACAGCUCUUCCUGCUGAAACAGUACUUAAAAUGGCCACAAUUAAUGGUGCAAAAUCAGUACUGUGGGAUAAGGAAAUAGGAUCACUUGUAGUUGGGAAGAAGGCAGAUUUGGUUGUCAUAAAUCCCCGCACUUGGUCUAUGGUUCCCCUUCACGACAGCAUCUCCAGCCUGGUAUAUUGCAUGCGAACAGAGAACAUCGUCUCUGUCAUGUGCAACGGUCGAUGGAUCAUGAAGGAUAAGAAGAUUUCAACUGUCAAUGUGGUAACUUAAGGAAACUUGUGUUUAUUUCUAUGCCAUCCCCCGCUAGUUACUUUUUCACCAUUUCGAGAAAUGAAGUUUUGUUCAAAUAGACUCAAAGCAUACUAGCCAGAAGGAAGAAAUUCUUUCAUUAGCGAAGGAAGCUUCAACUCAACUACUGAAGAGAGCAGGCAUCCGGAUACCAAAUAGAAUGAACAUGGUAUAGUAAAUUGAGGCUGUUUUUAGACGCUGGUGGUUCAAUAAACAUCUGCAAGUUUUUUGUCAAUUUACUUAUUCUACAGAAGUGGAGUUGCUGGAAUUAUUUCUUGCUUCAAUUCAAUCAGCUAUUUAUGUGCUUUGAAUUU